GACCAGACGAUCGCGUGCAUACGCAUGAGGAAAGUCCGGGCUCCGCAGGGCAGGGAUGACGGAUAACGUCCGCCGCAGGCAACUGUAGGGAAAGUGCAACAGAAACAUACCGCCGAAACGGGUAAUGCCGUGGCAAGGUUGAAAUGGUGAGGCAAGAGCUCACCGGCGUCAUGGAGACAUGACGGCCGUGUAAACCCCAUCCGGAGCAAGACUAAGUAGGGCAUUUUGCGGUGCGGCCCGUACCCGCCCGAAGGUAAGUCGCUAGAGGCUGCAGGCAACUGCAGUCCCAGAUGGAUGAUCGUCUAAUACAGAACCCGGCUUACGGUCUGCC
rnacentral:RNase_P_RNA from 1 species